UACAGAGGUCUCAAGCGUUGUUCGGAUUCAUUGGGCGUAAAGGGUGCGUAGGCGGCGCGGUAAGUCGGGUGUGAAAUCUCGGAGCUUAACUCCGAAACUGCAUUCGAUACUGCCGUGCUUGAGGACUGGAGAGGAGACUGGAAUUCCCGGUGUAGCGGUGAAAUGCGCAGAUAUCGGGAGGAACACCGGUGGCGAAGGCGGUUCUCUGGGCCUGACCUGACGCUGAGGAGCGAAAGCGUGGGGAGCGAACAGG
rnacentral:rRNA from 1 species